rnacentral:tRNA from 1 species
GCCUGGGUGGCUCAGUCAGUUGAGCAUCCAACUCCGGCUCAGGUCAUGAUCUUGCAGUUCGUGGGUUCAAGCCCCACAUCAGGCU